UACGUAGGUGGCAAGCGUUGUCCGGAUUUAUUGGGUUUAAAGGGUGCGUAGGCGGCUUAAUAAGUCAGUGGUGAAAGCCGAUCGCUUAACGAUCGAACUGCCAUUGAUACUGCUAGGCUUGGGUAUAGUUGAGGUAGGCGGAAUUGACAGUGUAGCGGUGAAAUGCAUAGAUAUUGUCAAGAACACCAAUUGCGAAGGCAGCUUACUAAAGUAUAACUGACGCUGAGGCACGAAAGUGCGGGGAUCAAACAGG
rnacentral:rRNA from 1 species